GUACUGACAACCACGGACGGAAUCACCCAGGGAUAGAUGGGUAACCUGGCAUGCCCCCCCAGCCCCCGACGAUAAACGUGGUGCUUACCCAACCACAGACAAUGCCCAGGGAUACAAUCAAGACCAACUGGGGCCCCCCUGAGCCACAUGCUCUCCCACCUGACCCUACAGUAAGGCACCUGGCCUACAUAAGGCCCCUGAGCCACCUGCACCAGGGUUGAGUGGAAAAGCAGUCACCCCUCGCUUAAAGGUUAGAUGACAACACUACUGGCCUCGGAGAGACAUCGUACAAACAGCAUACCCUAGGAAAUGAAUGGACCCUGACAAGCGUAGUCCUGAACACACACCCCCCCUGGGGAACAAUGCAGGCAGGGAGUUAACCGAUGAGAUCGGCAGGCCUGCUUAGGGAAGGGGACACCUCAAACCAUACUAACAGACAGGCUGGGCCUGUAAGGUACCGGGGGACUGCAGAACCACUAUAACAAUCUGCCCCCCUCCCGCUGGCUCUCUACCCAAGGAACCACUCAAAGCACCACAGAGGGACUCCCUAAGGGAAGGCCCAAGAACCUCUAACGUUAAGACACCAAAGUUGAAGGAAUAAAUGUGACCAGGUUAAGGUUGAAGUUAAGCUGUUGUGAUACAAUGUAAAACUGCGGAUGUUUGGUUUUCAGCCACAAGACACACCCCAUCUCACAGGCUAACGGAAGCCGCAUACAGCAAACGGUAUUCUACCGACAACACAAGACUGGACGAUGACAGAACCCCCUUACCACUAAACCGCAACUGGACCCACCAGAAAGCCAGACUGACAACUCACGAGACCACAAGGUAUGACCUUACCAUCACACGACAUGAUACACAAUGAACAUAUCCCACAGAAAUACCAACAAUAAGACGAUGACUACCCAUAGAAUAUGUAGAACCUCGGAUAAC